rnacentral:rRNA from 1 species
GAUGAACGCUGGCGGCGCGCCUAACACAUGCAAGUCGAACGAUUAAAGCACCUUCGGGUGUGUAUAAAGUGGCGAACGGCUGAGUAACACGUGGGCAACCUGCCCCUUUCAUUGGGAUAGCCACGGGAAACCGUGGAUAAUACCGAAUACUUCGAGACUUCCGCAUGGAAGACUCGAGAAAGCUCCGGCGGAGAGGGAUGGGCCCGCGGCCUGUUAGCUUGUUGGUGGGGUAACGGCCUACCAAGGCAAUGAUGGGUAGCUGGGUUGAGAGACCGACCAGCCAGAUUGGGACUGAGACACGGCCCAGACUCCUACGGGAGGCAGCAGUGGGGAAUCUUGCACAAUGGGCGAAAGCCUGAUGCAGCGACGCCGCGUGCGGGAUGAAGGCCUUCGGGUUGUAAACCGCCUUCAGCAGGGACGAGGCGAAAGUGACGGUACCUGCAGAAGAAGCCCCGGCUAACUACGUG